CCUACGGGGGGCAGCAGUGAGGAAUAUUGGGCAAUGGAGGCAACUCUGACCCAGCCAUGCCGCGUGAGUGAAGAAGGUUUUCGGAUUGUAAAGCUCUUUCGGAUGUGACGAUGAUGACGGUAGCAUCUAAAUAAGCCGCGGCUAACUUCGUGCCAGAAGCCGCGGUAAUACGAAGGGGGCAAGCGAGGUUAGGACUUACGGGGCGUAAAGGGAGUGUAGGCGGUUUAGUAAGAUAUUGGUGAAAUCCCAGGGCUUAACUUUGGAAUUGCCAUUAUAACUAUUAGACUAGAAUUACAGAGAGGAAAGUGGAAUACCCAGUGUAGAGGUGAAAGUCGGAGAUAUUGGGUAGAACACCAGUGGCGAAGGCGACUAUCUGGCUGUACAUUGACGCUGAGGCUCGAAAGCAUGGGGAUCAAACAGGAUUAGAUACCCGUGUAGUC
rnacentral:rRNA from 1 species